CCCCUCAGCAAUUUCAUAGCUUUGUUUCAUUCGAGAGAAACCCAUCUACCGAAAGUGAGUUUCAAUCAGAUCUGGACUAGCCACUGUGUCAAUUCUUUUCGGCAGUCAUCUCUUUGCAUAAACAAAUUGGUCUCUUACUCAGGAAGAUGGAAGAAAGAGGAUACCAGCAUGACGUAGUUUUGUGAAUCUUCAUCAUACGAACUGAUGAAGCAUUGAAGCUCCAAUCUACAUCAAUUCAUGCUCACGCUCAAUCAUUUACUCGAUGAUAUUGUAAGUGUGUUCAUAUGCCCUUUCAAAACAACAUGCACAGCCGUGUCUUUGGAGCGCCAACUGUUGGACGCCGCAUCUGGAGGGUCUUUUCUCGACAAAACACCUAGAGAUGCAUGACAUUGCUAGACAAUCGUGCCCUAAAUGAUCAGCAAUAUGCUGGUGCGUUGGCCUCUUCUCGGAAGGUGAACAAAGUGAAAUCGAGCACUACACUUGAAAAUAAGAUUAAUGUAUUGUUUCUCUCAUGUUGUGCUCGGAAAAAGUCAAGAAGUGAAAGCUUGUGGCGUAUGCUCCGGUAAUUCAAGGAACUAGAGAACUCUUGCAUGAAGUGAUAGGAGAUGUCCCCUCUCAGUUGCGAAGAAGAUAGGAGUCCUCCCGGAGUGAUUAGGACCGUAAGAAACAUCAGGACCCGCCUGGCUCAAAAUCUCCACCACUUCCCACUGAUCGAAGCACGCUGCAAGAUGCAGGGGGCUGGGUCUCCCUCUCCAUUUGUUGUCUUCAACAUAUCUUCAACUUGUUGCUGACCACCCUAUGACGAGAUUUUGGCCAGUGGAGGAGAGGUUCCACAAUGUCACAAUCUCAUGAUCACCAUUCCUCGCAGCGAUGUGAAGGGGAAUUUCUCCUUCCUUGUUAGACAGCAAGAGCAUCUACAGCAUAGCUCUCAUCGGUAGGUGUAUAGCUCCAAAUGUUGUCACUUACGGUAUCCUUCCUGAUGUUGUCACCUUUAAUAUCCUGGUUGAUCGAUGCACUUUGUAAGGAGGAGAUUUGUAAGGAGGAGAUCUUGAAAGCUGAAAAGGUGAUUGAUAUGAUUCAGAAUCGUAUUGAGUCAGAUACGAGCACACACAAUAUGAUGGUCAUGAAAGUGAUUGAUAUGAUGAUUCAGAGAGCUCUUAAAUGCAAUGCGGAAGAGAAAUGAAUAGGACUAGGACUUGUAAAAGAAGAUAAUUUACUUUUGGAGCAGAUAAUAUUUGCUCUUCCACUUUGUAAAAGAAGAACCAAAUGCAACAAAUGCAACAACUGUACAAACUGUGGUUAUAAUGUCAAUGCAAGAUGCUAUCUCCGAACACUAAGAAGCCUUGACGCUCAAGGUUAAGAAGCCAUUCUGGAGAAAGAGAUCAAUAUUAUACAGAGCAUUAGUAAAUAUGUCAUAACUGAUUU